rnacentral:rRNA from 1 species
GACGAACGCUGGCGGCGUGCCUACUACAUGCAAGUAGAACGCAGUUGCGAACGGUUGAUUAACGCGUAGGUAACUGCCUGGUAGCGGGGGAUAACUAUUGGAAACGAUAUCUAAUACCGCAUACUACCAGAUGGACCUGCGUUGUAUUAGCUAGUUGGUGGGGUAACGGCUCACCAAGGCAACGGUACAUAGCCGACCUGAGGGGGUGAACGGCCAAACUGGAGCUGAGGCACGGCACAGACUCCUCAGGGAGGAAGCAGUAGGGAAUCUUUGGCAAUGGGGGGAACGCUGACCGAGCAACGCAGCGGGAGUGAAGAAGGUUUUCGGAUCGUAAAGCUCUGUUAUUAAGGAAGCGGUACUUAACCAGAAAGGGACGGCUAACUCCGUGCCAGCAGCCGCGGUAAUAC